rnacentral:tRNA from 1 species
UCCCUGGAGGACUAGUGGUUAGGCCACAGUGCUCUUACCCCUGCGACCCUCGUUUGAUUCCUGGCCAGGGAA